AGUGAACGCUGGCGGUAGGCCUAACACAUGCAAGUCGAACGGCAGCACAGUAAGAGCUUGCUCUUACGGGUGGCGAGUGGCGGACGGGUGAGGAAUACAUCGGAAUCUACUUUUUCGUGGGGGAUAACGUAGGGAAACUUUCGGUAAUACCGCAUACGACCUACGGGUGAAAGCAGGGGAUCUUCGUACCUUGGGCGAUUGAAUGAGCCGAUGUCGGAUCAGCUAGUUGGCGGGGUAAAGGGCCACCAAGGGGACGAUCAGUAGCUGAUCUGAGAGAAUGAUCGGCCACACUGGGACUGGAACACGGUCCAGACUCCUACGGGGAGCAGCAGUGGGCAAUAUUGGGAGAUGGGCGCAAGCCUGAUCCAGCAAUACCGCGUGGGUGAAGAAGGCCUUCGGGUUGUAAAGCACUUUUGUUGGGAAAGAAAAGCAGCAGGUUAAUACCCCGCUGUUCUGACGGUACCCAAAGAAUAAGCACCGGCUAACUUCGUG
rnacentral:rRNA from 1 species